CGCGGCGCAGGGGAGAGCGGUUGACCUCCUCAGACGUUCUCGAGGCAGCUGGAGGCGGGACCGUGACCCGCUGGCAGCUCGGAGCUAGCCGGGCGGCCGGAGCUAAAGAGCGCCCGAGCGCCAUGAUUCCUCUGGAGAGGCCGAGCAGCGGCGGCUCUUCCCCGGCCGCCGCCCCCGGCUCGGGUCGAGUCGGCCGGGGUCUGACCACGCCGCGCCGGCUGCCGCCCCCGCCCCGCGGGCUGCUGACGGAGAUCCGCACCGCGGUGUGCACCGAGCCCUUCCAGGAUGCCUACAGCCUGAGCCCGGGCCGGGCGCUGGGCAGGGGGAAGUUUGCAGUGGUGAGGAAAUGUAUAAAGAAAGAUUCUGGAAAAGAAUUUGCAGCAAAGUUCAUGAGAAAAAGAAGAAAAGGCCAAGAUUGUCGGACAGAAAUAAUUCAUGAAAUUGCUGUUCUUGAACUAGCACAGGACGAUCCUUGGGUCAUUAAUUUACACGCAGUCUACGAGACGCCAUCGGAAAUGAUCCUAGUUCUGGAGUAUGCUGCUGGGGGUGAAAUCUUUGACCAGUGUGUUGCAGACAGAGAAGAAGCCUUUAAGGAAAAAGAUGUUCAGAGACUCAUGCGGCAGAUUUUAGAAGGUGUUCGCUUUUUACACGCUCAUGACGUAGUUCAUCUUGAUUUGAAGCCCCAGAAUAUUCUGCUGACAAGUGACUCUCCACUGGGUGACAUUAAGAUCGUUGAUUUUGGUCUUUCACGAGUACUGAAGAACGGCGAAGAGCUCCGGGAGAUUAUGGGCACUCCCGAGUACGUGGCUCCUGAAAUUCUUAGUUAUGAUCCUAUCAGCAUGGCAACGGAUAUGUGGAGCAUUGGAGUGUUGGCAUAUGUCAUGCUGACGGGAGUAUCGCCUUUCUUAGGCGAUAAUAAACAAGAAACGUUCCUCAACAUCUCACAGAUGAAUUUGAGUUAUUCUGAGGAAGAAUUUGAUGUUGUGUCUGAGUCAGCUGUUGACUUCAUCAAGACACUUUUAGUUAAGAAACCUGAAGAUCGCGCCACUGCUGAGGAGUGUCUGAAACAUCCAUGGCUAACGCAGAGCAGUGUUCAGGAACCUUCUCUCAAGGUGAAAGGAGCAUUAGAAGAGGCACAGGCCCUCCAGGAAGGCGAUCCUGUGCCUGAAAGUCAUUCAGAUACUCAGAAGCCGGAAACUGAGGAAUCCGUCGUCACAGAGGAGUUGAUUGUAGUUACUUCAUAUACUUUAGGACAGUGCAGACAGUCUGAAAAAGAGAAAAUGGAGCAAAAGGCCAUUUCCAAACGCUUUAAAUUUGAGGAACCUCUGCUGCAAGACAUUCCGGGAGAUUUUAUCUACUGAGCAGUAUUUCCCUUUAGAACUUUAAGAUUUCUAUAUUGGAAACAUUAUUUAUGGACUUCUGGCCAAAUGGUACAUGUGCUGAAAGUGGAUGACCAGGUGUCACUGGUAGAAACUAAAAUAACUUUGUCAAACUUGUGGAGUUAGAGAAAUCAAGCCAGAUUUAUAAAGUUGCCAACCAGGAGGUUUAACGGGUAAAGUUACCUUUUUCAGAGUUCUUUUUAAGAAGGGAGAUGCUUGAACCUUUUAUUUCUGCAUCCUGUUUCUCCAGAAUGAGAAUGUGUAUGCAAAGAUAUCUGUAGUCACUUUCCUUAAAACUCCAACUAAAAGUGCCAAAAUUAACAUCUUUGUAAAUCUGUUUUGCAUUAUUCAUAUCUGUAUCUGCAUAUAUGUAUGUUGAUAUUGUUACUAAAAUUGAUACUUUUUCACUUUGGAUUUUUUGAGGGGACUAAGAUUUUAAUUUAAAUAAGUAUUUUGCAAAUUUCUGAGACCUAGAAUAACAUCCGCUAGUUAAUAAUGUCUUAUUUUUAUAUUUUGUUACUGCUCUAUGUUGACUUGACUUGACUUCUGUUGUCUGUUUUCUUCCUAAUGCUUUGCAGCCUUAUCAGUGGAAAAGCCUGUGGCUAAUUUUAGGUUUUUUCUUCAACAUCACUAGUAAGAGUGGUGGUGAUUUUUCACCUCUGAAAUUGUUUUGGUUUUCAAGGUCAAAGGUUAAGUCACCCUGUAAUGUUAACCCAGUGUUCGCUCCGCGUGUCCCUCAUCACACCUUCCUUGUCUACCCUCUUUCACAGGCUGCACCCCUGCCGCCUCCUCACACGCUUGUCACCUGACUUUGGUCUCUUGCGAGAGGCAGUGUGAUCUGAUCAACACAGUGGUGCUUCGGUCAGUGAGAGGAUGCUAUUAAGUUGUUUUUGUUAAUAAAAUCCCCAGGAAUCGGGGAAGAAAUAUAAAGCACAUUCAUGCUGGCCAUCGAGCCUCUCUGCUUGUGUUGAAUUUCCUAUUAGCCCCCAAGCAAUACUAGGAAAAGUGGUAAGAUGCCAGAAUAUUUAUAAACCUUUACUUUGUUCGUAAACGAUUUGACAUUGGAAACUUUGUCAUUAGGGAGGUACCCUAAGACUUGUAAGAUUUAUAAGAAUAUACUCGGUAGCAUUUAAUUUACUUAGGAGUGAACACUUCAGCUGUAUCUGGGCCCACAGUGAACAAAUUCCUAUUUAAAAAAGUGGACAUGUAAAAGCGUAUGCUGUAUAACUUAAAGCAACUAAAUCUUCUUACACAGAACAGUCUGCGAGUCCUUAUUUACCUUGUAUUAGGUGCUUGUAUCGGGUGAACACGACUUGUCUGUGACUUGUGUGCACGCAGCGUGUGCUCUGUACCGUGAGCUACUCGGACCCAUCCCUUCGCAGUCCGCUAGGGUGUCACGUGGUGCUUUCUUCCCAGCCUGGUUGCUCAGAUGUCAGCCUCAGGACCAUGGGAACCCCUAACCAUCUGUUUUCAAGUGUGUGUAGGGUACUGGGCUGGACUUUCCCAUGCGUGGUCUGCACGAGCUCCCAGCCCUGCCUUGCAAGUGUCGCAGGCCCUGUGUUGUUCCGACACCAUCAGGUGAAAUUGAUUAGGCAGUUCGAACCCUCUGUUUGCACUGUUUUCUCACUAAAUUGGCCUAUUGAUUUAUACAGUUUCUUGAAAAGGAGCAUUUCUAAACAAGCUCUAUAAAGAGGAAGAGGAAAUUCUGCUACAGUGGCAAUUUUCAAUGAAAACCCACGGCCACAAUGCUAAAGCCUCAGACCUCAGUUUGGAAGAAAGUGUAGGAGAGAAGAGGUCGCUUAGAGGCUGCUGGACACGAGGUGAAUGCUGUGCGGCUCCGUCCACGGAGGCCUGAGCAACAUCGCUCCCUGCCACCGACAUGGAUCAUCUCAAGCACUUUGAACUGAGCAACUGCUGGAGUCGGCGGAAAGACAAGCCUGGAUGGUGGACAGGUUACCGAGGAGAGGCUCUUCCCGUGGGUGGAGGCUGGAGGCUUUUCCCAUCAUCACCCUCUCACCUCCUCCUUGAACGCCCCCCAACCCCUUCAUGGGGCCUCCUGUGGAUACAGCAUCUUUUGCCCAAGCCUCCCAACAAGCAGUAUAAAUGCUGCCUCGCCUGUAAGACCAGCGAUUGGCUCACAUUAUUUAACCAGCAACACCGUCAAGGCAAGUUUUACCAAUGAAUGGCUGGCACCAGGGAAGAGCAGCAGCCCGCUCCUCCCCGUUUCCUGAUCCCCCCGACCUCCAGCUCCGGGCUGGAAGCCGGCCAGCUCCUCCACUAAUCCCAGGCUCAGGGGGCAGUGAGUCCAGGGGAGCCAGGCAGGGGCUGCCUGCUCCUUUUGUCCUUGAGAAUUAAAACACAUCCUGGCUAAACAGCAAACAUCUCUGAGAGAGGCUUCCCGUGGGGGAAGUGAGUGAGUGUAGCUACUGGCAACCAGACAAGAAAAGCCAAUUAAUGGGGUAGAGAGCUUAUUUAAAGAAUGUGAUGAAUAAUUCUGGAACAGGACCCCAUGCCUUUAUUCAUUUGUAAUGACGGAGGCAGCAGUGUUGGAAGCUGCGACAUAGCAUCAAGUUAUGGCAGACCUAGACCACUACAACUGUCAAGUUCUUCAAAUUCAGUAGCGUGCACUGGAUAAAAUGUCUGGACUGAGCUUAAGAGCCCAAGUAGCGGCAUGCUGUCCGAGCUGUGAAACUUCUCAAGCUUUGAAAAACUAAUUCUUAUGCCACAAUCAUAUAACUAAAAUUGAAAACGGAAAUCGUUUCCAUCAGAAGGUUCUCCUCCUGCUGCCUGAUUCCCACCCACUUUCCCAUCAUACCUCUUAAAGGGGGCGUCUCUGGAUGAGGUGACAUAGAGAUAGCCCUCUGACUUGGGUCCAGAGACAGGAAUCUUCAACUGGGGGUAUAAAAUGAGAGAGGUAAGUGUAUAUAUAGUGCUGUCCUCUCAAGAGAUAACCUAUGAAAUCCAGUGAUUAUCCACAGAACCUGGUUGUUUUCGAACUUGAGCCUAGCUGAAGAAUUCACCUUAUUUUCCAUCUGGCUCCCUUCAAAUGCCCUGCCCCUCUCUGGAUGGCCUGGUGAGGUCAAUGGCAGUGCUCCUAUCUGGCAAGGAGACCUUAUGUGCCAAACUCAAUGUUCUGAGUACUUGCAAUGAUUAUUUUUUAAAUCCACGGUUAAAAAAGAACUACUGAUGUGUGCAACAACAUGGAUAAAGGUCAAAAACAUGCAGAGUGAAAGAGCCUUACCCAAGAGUAUAUAAUGCGUGAUUCCAUGUCUUAGACCAAACUAGGCUGGGAAAAAAAUGUCAGAAAGUGCCUCUGCUGGAGCUGUGGGGAUGUGAGAGGACCAACUGGGAAAAGCAUGAGGCAGCUCUCAGGUGAGGGAACAGUCUACAUGUAGGCAGGGGCUUGAGUUGCACAGGUGGAUGCAUUUGUUAAAAUUCAUCAGGACGGUUAGUUAGAUGUGCAUCUUUCACAGAAUGUAAAUUUUACCUCACAGAAUGUAAAUUUUACCUCAAAAAAUAUAUAUUAAGCUCUAGUUACUGAUAUAUAUGGCUUAUGUAUUUAAAGGUGAAAUGUAUGGAUAUUUGAAAAUAAUAAGAUAGAUAGGUUUCAAGAACAAAUAAGGUAGAGCUAGACAAACAGGUAUGGGAUAAAAGCACACACUGAGCAAAGUAUUAGUUACAGAAUCCAGGUGGCAGAUAUAUGGGUUCCACAGCAUAAAUGCUUUGAUAUUUUCUAUAUGUUUGAAACUUUCAUAAUAAAAUAGAAAAAC